rnacentral:rRNA from 1 species
GACGUAGGGGGCAAGCGUUGUUCGGAAUUAUUGGGCGUAAAGCGCUCGUAGGCGGGACUGGAAGUCCGUGUUGAAAGACCUCGGCUCAACUGAGGGACCGGCUCGGAUACUCUAGUUCUUGAGGCAAUCAGAGGGUGAUGGAAUUCCCGAUGUAGCGGUGAAAUGCGUAGAUAUCGGGAGGAACACCAGUGGCGAAGGCGAUCACCUGGGGUUGUUCUGACGCUGAGGAGCGAAAGCUAGGGGAGCAAACGGG